rnacentral:tRNA from 1 species
GUCCGCGUGGCCUAAUGGCUAAGGCGUCUGACUUCGAAUCAGAAGAUUGCAGGUUCGAAUCUAGUCGCGGACG